rnacentral:rRNA from 1 species
GAAUUGCGAUAAGUAAUGUGAAUUGCAGAAUUCAGUGAAUCAUCGAAUCUUUGAACGCACCUUGCACCCUCUGGUAUUCCGGAGGGUAUGCCCGGUUGAGUAUUAUAAUCGACUCAAGCCUCUGGUUUCUAAUUGCAAAGGUUGGAUGACCGACGAAACCGUCUAUUGGGACGGCGGUAGUUGGAGUUUGACUUGGAAUCCAGAUGGCCUUGGACUUGAGCGCAUGUCGGUUUCACUUAGAGAUCGACUCGCUUGAAAUGUAUUAGCUGGCGACCCGACUAACGGUUUCACUCGACGUAGUAAGCCUUUAUUUCGUUGAGGACAUCUUUUCUUAAGGUGACCGGUAGACACGGGUGUUGAGCCGCUUCUAAUUGUCUUAGGACAAGCGACCGAAAGUCUAAUCUCAACUCGGGUAGGAUUACCCGCUGAACUUAAGCAUAUCAAUAAGCGGAGGAAAAGAAACU